ACCCCAUUACACCAGAUGUUGAGCAAACAGAACAAAAAAAAGAGAGAAUGUUCUGCACUUCAAGAGAUAAGAGGUGCUGGUGGAGCUUUCAUGCAUGUAUCAGGAGGGUAUAUUUCAGGUUGCCGUUAUUUGGUAGAUACAGUAGCAGGAGAUCCUGAGGUGCUGCAAGCAGAUGCUGAAACAUACUAUGAAAAACUGUUGAAGCAGUCGUCAUCUGCUCCUGACAUUUUUUCCAUCCCUGGAGGAGAAAAGGUUAAACUUGAAGAUUCCUGUGUGUGUUUUGUCCCCCUCUACCGAAAUAGUCCUACUUGCAAAAUGUUGCUGUUAACUGAUCCACAGGAUAAAGAGACAGUUUUGGCACUUUAUAUGAACCAGCGAUGGUGGCCUGUUGAAGAUGUUGUAAAAACUGCUGACCCUUCCAGAGAUGGGUUGAUUUCGGUCCAGACGCUUGGAGAAAGGAUUGUCCUCUUUGUUCUAAACUGCAUUAUUUUUGGAAUGCCGGAAGAGAAUUCAUCUAAUGGUGCAUUCUUUCUACCUCACUCUGCCACUGAGUGUGCCAAGAUACUCUGGAGAAAUGGCGAGGCUGUUGCCUUUUACUCGGUGAAGAUGAAAGGGAGUCUAUGUGAUGGUACUACUGGUCAAUGUUACUUGCUGCCAGUUUUGGAUACUAUAUUUGUCCAGAGAAAGUAUAGAAGAGGUGGCCUAGGGAUGAAAAUGCUGCGUGAUUUCUGUCAGUCUUUCAAGUCUGAGGAUGCCUUGGGGAUCAGCUACCCUAUUUCUGCUGCCAUGUAUCAAGUGGCAUCCUGCCAGUACCCUCUCAUGAGGAAGAAUCAAUUUGCAAGGUAUUGAAUAAACCCUUGGGCUCUGCCUUGGAGAGGUGACCACCCAUGAAACCAACUGACAUGAAAGCACCUCAAGAUAAGCUUUCAUCUUAAUAAAUCUGAGAGGGAGGGUAUGAAAGCAGAGAGUGGCCGUGGAGGUGCUUCCAGUGUGGCUAUGGAGGCACACAGCUCCCGUUCAUCAGGACUGUUCCUUGCAUCUGUCUGACCUGACCUGUUGGCAGAAUGCGGCUAUUGCAUUUCUUGUCCUGCGGUGUUAAGCUCGGUGCUGUGCCAUGCGAUCUUACUGAACAUGCUUAAGAAUCAUGCUGACCCUGCGAUGGGCCUUCAUGGAGCUUGGAGGAGCUGGUGUGACUUGGAUGGCAGCAGCGUGUGCUGUUCUGCUGUACGAGAAAUCCUGUCUUGAAAGAAGGAGAUGUCAGAGCUGCCCUUGGCAUGAAGCUGCUGCGUGUCCAGGGUUGAAGAAAGUGUGUGCUCGUGUUCCCCAGAAGCUGAGGUCUCACUGUUCCCAACGUGCUCACUGUGAGUCGUGGCUGGGAGAUGCCUAUGACAGCUGGCCUUAAGGGAGGAAGGGGCACUGGGGGACCCUCUUACCAAUAAAGCUGGACAGCGAUUAAGGAAGUGAUUAUCCCUCUGUAAUCGGCACAGUGACACCACCCCAAGUACAGCGCUCAGUUUUGGGCCCCUCACUUCAGGAAGAAUACUGGACUGCAUCCAAAGAAGAGCAUCAAAGCUGGGUGAAGGGAUUAGAAGACAAGACGUGAGGAACGGCUGAAGAAACAAAGGAUGUUCAGCCUGCGGGAAGCCAAGGGGAAACCCCAUCGCACUGUGUAACUGCCUGGAAGGAGGGCACAGCAAGGAAUGAGUUGCCCGCGUCUACGCUGGUGACAGUGGCGCUUCUGCCUGAGUCAGCUCCGUGUGUCAGCUCCGUGCUUGGAGACUCCAUCAUCUGCUUCCUGCGUUAUUACAUCCCUGGCGAGCCCAGGAAAGCAGCAGCUCGGCGCUUCCCGGCUGACUCAGAACUAACUCCUGUCACAACUGACAGUGCUUUCAGGGGAGGAGACUCAGUGCUGCAUGCCUUCUUUGGAUAAGUUCUGGCUCCUGUCCAGGCCAGAAGAAGGGUUACAUUUUGUGGCCCUGCAUCUCACAUACCCUCCAUGGAGCCUGGCCUGCUGUCCAGCGCAAAGAACUGCCACGUGGUACGUUUAGCUUUCCUUGCUCGUUCUUUGAGUGUGUGACACUACUGAGUCCGGUGGUGUAGAUCAACCAAGCUGCACGCUUUAAGCCUGCCUAGUAGUUUUGCAGGGCUUUUUCUGGCUUUGGCUGCUUAAUACAGACAUGCAACUUCAACAUGACCACACAUAGUGGAAGUACACAGAAUUAUAGGUCUUCUUAAAAUUGUCAGGAGCAAAUAUGAUCAGAUCUGGUUCUUGAUCUCAUUACUGUCUGAAAGAUUUGACUGGCAUUUUUAAAUGCCAUGAUUUAUGUUCUUCACCUUAACACAGCCCUCAGUAGUGUAAACCCAGUAACUCUAUUAUUCUCCAGGGGAACUUCUAGGAAUCUGAUUGGAGAAUUUACACAACACUGUGUCUAUAAGAAAAUAUUAACAUGGAUUAAGACAAGUUGAUAGAUAUUAAACCAGGCUAUAGAAUGAAAACCACUGAGAAUAAAUCAAAUAACUUUGCCUAACUACAGAAAGUAUUUGUAAAGCCCUGUAAGGUUUCCAUUUCCUAAAGCCACCUGCCAUCUCAAAUGCCCCUAAUCAGUCACAGAUGUUGGAUACCAACCUGCUAACCUUAUGGCUUUGAGAGAAAAUAUUGCACUUUUGUAAACUCAUUCUUGGGUAUUUCCUUUAUUUUUUUUAAACUAAACUUUCAUCCCUUAUUUUCCACUUAAAUGUAAUGAGUUAUAUCAACUCUGACACUUUGUUCUGCUUAGCCCUACAGUUCCAGUUAGCUGCUUCCCUACCUGGUUCUUUAAAUGUUUGAAGAUCUCAGUUUGUUGUUGUUGCUUUGUUAGGGUACUUUUUGACUUUACAACUCAAGAUCCCCUUUCUGGCAGCAAAGAAUCCCAUGAGAUACAAAAUGUGCAUCUUUUCUGUAACCAUUUGCUAAUGGAGAAGUGCAUAUUUUUCUGUUCUCAACUAAUGUUUGUUUCCACAGUGAAGAUGCAUCAAGUACUGAGCCUUUAUGAAGUACUCUUGAAACAGGAAAAAAAAAGUAGCAAAAAAUAAUGAAAAUAAAGAGACUGCUAAGAAACAAGACAUUUUAGCACCUAUUGGAAUCAAAAGAAAGAAUUUCAUAGAUUAGGGAAGGUACAGAAGAGGCCAAGCUGGCAAAGACCAUUAGAUGCUGUUAGGAUAUAUUGAUAUUCAAGCACAAUGGUGGGUUUGGCUUGGCUGAGGAAGGAGGAAUUAUUCCACUUUAGCUUGUGAAGACAGGCUGGGAGUGGGAGUUGUAAUGGAGGUAGGAAGCAGACUGGAUUUUAUUAGACUUCCAUCAUCUUUAAGAGAUCCCUAACCAGAUCAGGUUUCAGCCUCUCCCUCCACUCUUGUGUCAACCUUUGGUUCUGUUUUUGCUGGAGGAUAAGUUUCAUUAUAUUAAUAAGCAGCACAAGUGGUUCCAAUUGUGGAAGAACCACUUCGAGCUGUCAGAAAUGAUCAGAGGAGAAGUUUCAACCUUUCUGUGAUUGCAGCCUCUUCUUCUGGUGCCUCAACUCAGCACUUCCCCAGUGCACUUCACAUUGUUUAGCAACCAUGACGAUAAUAAAAGGUGUGUUCCCAAGGACAGCUCUGGGAGAUGGUGACAGCUGAAGACCACUGUGAGGCUGAUGCCUGCCUGAGGACCAGUGACACUCUUGUCAGCCAUUGAACCUUACUGCCUCAGUUUCCCUACUGCUAAAUUAAGGCAUAUUUGUAUGAGAUACUGUUUUCUCAACCAGGAAAAUUAUCUCAGCAUUUGGUGUAUAUUUUCUUCUACUGAAGGAUGGAUGUGAUCUUCACAUAGUUAAAAGAUCAGAGCCAUUCCACAUCAGAGAAAGUGCCGGUGGGAGAUGUAGGUGGCCUGUAACACCCACCACUGAUCCUCUAUCUGUGGGGCUGCUGGCAUUGCUAGUUCAAACGGUUCAUCUGGAGGAAAAUGAUGUGUAACUUGGAUAUAUGGGGCUUCCCAGACAGCAGGGCAUACUCUAAGGAAAUGCUCUGCUGAUCAUUUAAUCCCUGCUUUCUUCACUAUGUAGUGCACACUGGCCCACUGAGGAGGUAGGCCCUGCUCCUCCACUGCUGUGACCAGCAAUGCCCAGAGAUCAGUGGCUCUGCAGCUGCACAUCCUGCCUUCUGAACUCAGCCCUGGGAGGGGACUGGAAGAGCUGAAUGGGUCCAUCUGCACUAGCCACCCCUACCUACCUUAAAGCCCCAAACCACGAGGGGCAGUUGGUUACACAGCAGGCUAUUAGCCCCAAGUGUUUCCUGAGGUCUGACUUCAUUUAGUGCGCGGCACGGCACAAGCCCUUUCCCACGCGACGUCUGAACUGAACCUCAUCAGCAGUGCCCAGGCUCUGAUCCUGACCCAGCCUGCACUGCAGCCCCUCUGCAGAACUAACCCGAGAUGAAAGGCGUCAAAUGACAGGAUACAGAGUGCUGAGAGCUGGCUUCUGCAGACAUCUUGCUGGUUGUUUUAAGGUCUUCUGCCUCUAAGUGGCACCAUGCUGAGUGAUUGAACACUUGCUAGAACCUGUUCUACCUUUUAUUGCGAUGAUUCAUUACAGAGCUCCCAGUUUGCAAACUCUGAACAAGCACUGCCUAGAUGUCAGAGCCCUUUGGUCAGAAACACCAGAGCCUUCUGGAGUGAUGGUCCCGGUACUACAAAAUCCCUUUGGAAAGCCACAGCUCUUGAACCAGCACUGGGAAAGACUGAACUUUCAUUUUUAGAGAAGGCUCUCACAUCCCUACGAUCUGUAACGAGAGGUACUCAAAACACAGCCAGGUGAAGCUUCCUCUGCUGUAAAUUUCCAGAGGAUUACACUGAAUCAUAGGUUUAUGGAUUUGUAUGUGCUUAAUAUAAUCAGGCUCAGAUUGUCUGUAUGUAGCUUCUGCUCAGAGAGCAGGAAAUAGUUUGGAAGGGGGACAGAGGGUGUCCCAGAAUGGAUGGGUCCAGUCUAUGUACACUGUGAGACAGACACACACGCACACACUUAUUCUGAACAUCCUGAAACUGCUUAAGCCACGUGUACUCCCCAGACUAGCUAUGCAGUACUGGAAAUGAUGUGCUUUUUAAAUCAGAAGGAAGUGAUCUCCUCUCAGUGCCACAGUGGGAUCACAACACAAUAACAUUCAGCUAUUCACAAGCAUCUACUAUGAAGUCUGGCUUUGCUUUAAUACUUACUUAGAAGUCCUCACACAUUUUGCAGCAUUUGGGGCUGUCUUACUCUACCUUAAAAUACAGUAAGGCUUUCCUGUGCCUACAUAACGAAACAAAAUCCACACCCCAAACUCCAGCUCGAAACAACAAACCAGUGCAGCUCAGGAAAGCUACGGAUGCCUUAAGAGAGCCAAAGAAAUGUACACCAUGAGAAAAGUUUUCCUGUAUUUGAGAGAAGGUUGUCAGGAUGGUAAUAUAGUACGGUGUGUAGUGAAGACUGGGAGAUUUAUGUGCCAAUUCUGUGUAUGAUUUAUUUAGAUGAAUCGUUUUUUAUCAAUAUGUAAAAAUCCAAUAAAUAUAACUCCCUAUACAAAGGGUUGCUCCAGUCCCGAUGUUUCAGUGGACAGUUUUGGCAGAAAGUCAGGAUGUGCAUUAAAAACACACUUUUUGAGAAGUCCAAUAAAUAAAAGCUCUGAAAUAUGGUUUCCUACUGAGAAAGGCAUUUUAAAUCAUUUUGAUAAAGAACCUAAAUUAGGCCUUAAAAGGAGGGGGAAGCUAGGUCCCUGCAACUAAUUAUUUAUAGGUAUUUUGAAUAUAAAAGUCCAGGAAAGCCUGCCUCCAUCCCCCAUUCUCUGCCACAACAAAGGGGAAAGAAAAAGCCAUUCCCCUUCUACCUCCCACCCAAAUUAAAAGGCAGAAGUGUUAGAAAGGGGCUGAAGAAAACAGAAUUAAAAUGGGGAACAGGCACCUGACAAAAACAAGGAGCUUCAGAAGUCCUGGGAAAAGAAGACCUGCACGCUUUCUCAAUACCAGGAGGGGACAGGUCUUCAUUUCUCCUCCGCGUUACUCCAGAGAAGUGGGCUGCUACUCACCCCAGUCCCCUGAAGAGGGAAUACGCUGAUAUUUGCUAAGCACCACAGGGAAUGCUUUUAGAAAUGAAUAAACAUUUGAAUAGCCCUAGUCUCUCUGAAAGUCAAAGCAAUUUAUAGACGUCAUAGAAGUCAAAACUGCUGGGCACUUGGGCUUCUGAAUCAUUUAAGUGCUUCUGGAUAUGUUAGCCCAAAAACGUAGCUGACAUGUGGCAUGUGGACAGCCACCCGCAGGCCUUGCCUUUAGAGGAUGUACAGCGUGGGGACAUGCUAUCCCUGCAGCAGAACCAGUGGGGCUGAAGAAGUGUUGUGUGUUUUAAGUGGGAGAGUCUGUGGCUCCACAGCAAUAAUUGGCAGAGCCCUGUUUUGGAUCUCAAGCCAAGCCCAGCAACUCAGGUGCAGUUCACGAGGCUCAAGGCUCUGAAUGGGAAGGCUGAGAAAUGAGAGAUUAAUACAUGGAAGCACAGUGUGUGUGCUGGAGAGAUUUCUGCUAUGGUGGUUGUGCCUAUCAGGCUUCCUACUGAACUUACUGCUAUUCAUCUUACAGACAUCUAGAAUUUCCCUCCCUGUUCUCAGCUUCACCUUGUACUCCCUUCUGCCUCCAAGCACGAGCCUCUCUUGUCCCUGCACAAGGGCCAUUCAUUCUCCUCUGCUCCAUCAGGAGCGCUUCCCUCUGAGUUCGGGUUCAUCCCUCUCCUUAAAUCUGACCUUCAGAUCUUCCUUCUCACUGCACGGCUCAGUAAGGUGUACACAGCAAGGGCCACUGCACUUGCUGAAGCAGGAGGCUGCUAGCAGGAAAAUACAGACCUCGGAAAAUCAAGAGAAGCAUUUAAGAGCUGGAGUUUAACAGCAUGGGUCUGCAUCUGCCUUUGGCCUGGCUCUGCGCUGUCAUUGCAUAGUACACAAGAGCACCCUUUUGUUGAUCAGGGCCAGUCACAGGUCUUCUAGCAUCCUCCAAAUCCAAGCAAGACAAGGCUGCCCAGACUUACAGACCUCUCCGACAGCUUGCAGCCCUGAUGUGUGCACAACCUGAACUUGCAGACAUGCCCUCUCAGGUCAGAAACAGCAGAAGAGCUCAGCCACACAGCACGAGCGCUGCAUUUAGCUCCAAAGCUGGCAGAGAUACGCAGCCAAGUUUUCAAAAUAGCUGAGCAGCUUGAGGGCUUUGUUGCCUACAGACACAGCAGUGGGAACUGCAGGACUCAGAUCUGAAAAUGUGGGCUGGGCUGGGAGUACUCAAAGAACGGGCCAAGGGCUCCUCUGAAAACAUCUUAAAUGACCAGAUGAGAAAGAGCAAUGGAUAGGAUGGCUGCACAAAACCAGAUGCUGGCUGCUAUUAAAGACAACACUCUGCCUUCAGUUCACACCAGGUUUGAGAUGAGAUCCCGACCCACCAAAAAGAGAAGUUCAGACAGUCGAGAUGUCCAAAAAAAAAAAAAAAAAGAAAAAAGAAAAAAGCAGAAAUCUGAAUUCAAAUUGAAAGUUAAGUAUUAAAAAAACUGCCAAAAAUGUUCAUUUGUGUCAGGAAAACUUAAGCACAGGUUUCUGACAUCUUCAACGCAACCAAAACACAUCAGCCAUAAUGAUUCCUCCACCCGAUUCACCAUUAAUAUGCAGACAAACGCCAGGGGCUGUCAUUUCCCAAAUGAAGGCAAUCCACAUUCAUUUACAUCUGGAACACCUAAGAAUGUUGUGCUUCUGAUGGUAAAUUUUAAGCUGAAAUGAAAGAAGGAGGUAGAAGGCGACGCCUGAGUGUCUCUUGAAAAACAUCAAAAUGUAUUUUGUUUUCAGUCCCUAAAAAAGGAUCUGAUUAUUCAGGGAUCCUUUCCUCUUCACUUCAUUAUCAUUAGCUUAGCAGUGCCGGGUUAUCUAAUUACUCAGCUAGAGCUGGAAACUGCAUUUUCAUGUAAUAAGGUGUAAGAGGACUAGGCUGUCUAGCUUAGUAGUCAGUACUUAAAGAACAGCUGUAAAGAGCAGAGUCAGGAAGGCUGCAGCACGAGAGGAAAUCCUCAGUAGAAUUCAAGUGCUUUACAUCUGUCAUAAACAUACUUCCAGAUCAAAUUAAAGGAAUUUCUUUUAACUGUAUUCACAGGCUCCAAACACUCCACACAACAAGCUGCCUGAGAUCUUAGUCAUUCUGAGCCAUGAAUCAUUCCCCUUGUCAUCUGGCUGUUCUCUGCUGACUGCUAAUUCGCUGUAUAUUGAUUUUAAGACUCUGUUAACACAUGAUAUUUUUGUGUUAAGCCAGGAAAGCUUUUCUUGCUGAAAAAUCACAUCCCAUUCUUAUUCCUCACAAUAUUCAGUUUUGUUCCUUCUCAUUUAUUUAGAAUGACUGAUCAACGCCGUUUAAUCAGCUUUAAGUGGCUCUGUGAAUUGUUCCAUGCUAUUGUAACCACCUACCUUUUUUUUUCUACCAGCACUCAACUUCACAACAUGAAUUCUUCAUUUUGGACUUGUGUGUUUGCCUACUAAUGCAAAAACAUAGCAGACCAAACGAAUGGUGGGGUAACACCCCGAGAUUCUGGAAUUCAGCUGCUCAGAGAAACGUUACCUGAAGGAAGAACUGAAAACACACAUCACAGGAACGAUACCAGCGUUUUUCCUCACUGAUUUGAAACAGGUCAAGACUUUAAAAACUCCUGUAAAAGACUGUGCUGUUACAGCUGGCGAUUAAAGUUUACAAUGAAUCAGAUAAUAAAUAUUUUGUUUGCUUCUUCUGAAACGUCA